AUGGCUGGAAAUGCAGAGGCCUGUCCUGAAACCCGAGCCCAGGAACACCGAGCACCUCCUGUGUCAACCUGGCAGUGUUUGUCCAGUGUCUCCACUUAAAGGUCCUCCCCCCACUGCCUACUUUCCACACUGUCCUCUUUUGAAGGAAGUCACUCUGCAGAGCCCAUACCUGGACAAGUACUGAGGAUCUGAGAGGUAGAAAGCAGUGGAAGCAAUUCUGAAAAAGGACAUAUUGCUUGAGAAAGGAAUGGGAGAGGAAGCUGCCCCUAGUAACAGGCUGGUGGUGACAGGGGGUUCUUGUUAUCCAGGAAGUUGAAACAGAAAAUCAGAGGUAAGAAGGUGCCAGAAACAAUCAGCCAAAUUUACCAUGCCUAAACUGCAUUGUGGGUCUGGUGGCAAAUACACUGAGCAGAUCACAUGAUCGUCCCUCUUCUUUUUUGCUUUGGCUUUGACCAUGUGGUGAAGAACAGGACUUCGAAGCAA